AAAUUUGUUACAACAUAAUACGAACAGUUCUAAAAUAAAUCAAUCUUUUUAGUAUGAAAUCCAAAAUUCUUCGUAUCCAUCUCAGUAUGGAAAUCAAUCCGAACCCAAACAAAAAAUCUCGGUAUCAAUCUCAGUAUGGAAAUCAAUCCAAUCGAAAAAUCAAUGUCCAGACUUUACCUCCACCGGCUCGUGUUUGAUACACUUUCCGUUGUUCCGUAGCAUCGCACGGGUUCUUUUGCUAGUUCUAAGUAACACAUGAUAAAUAGAAUGGCAGGCCCAGAGUGUGGUGCAGUGCUGGGAGGAGAUGAGAGCGAUGACGUCAAUAAAACGAGGAACGAUCGCAUACGCUCUCUCGUCGGGAGAAAACCCGUGUGAAUGGGAUCGAACCGUGAGUUCGUGAGGAGCCACGCAUCGCUUUUGGAUCACUUUGGUCAAGCAGUCCACCGGGAAGUGAAGAACGGAUAACCCAGCGGGCAGCGGCGAACAAAAAUGAGCAGCUGUGUCCACUUGUCCAGUACACGGGCACGCAGCUAGUAACUUAGCACCGAACCAACGUACUGCGCUUGGUGAUCGAUCGAUCUAUAUUCUGCUGUGUAGUAACUUAUCUGCAAGUAUGAACUACUGGAAAAUCUCAUCCUAUCAGUCGUUGAUUGUUGUAUCAUAUCAUAUGCAUGUGACGUGAUACGAUGUCGUGUGAGAUUAUUUAUGAAGAGCGUUUGGCGUUGCGUACAACGUCCACGUGAAGCCCCUCGCACGUACCAGUAGGCGGGCGCAUCCAGGUAAAACCGUGUCAUCAAUCAGUAUCAGACAAGCCAUCCAUGAUAUUCGAGACGGGGAUAGGGUAGUUGCACACAAAAAUGAAGGAGAGAAACAAAUAAAGGGGAAUCCCAUGGUUUCAGAUAAGAUCGGCCUGAAAGCGACCAUAUCUCCGUGGAUCUAAUUAGCUGUUAGCCGAGGAUCUAUUACACGUGCCCACUCAUAGUCGCUGGGCCGGAUUCAGUUGGUUUCGAUAUCUCUUUUCCCCAAGAACUUCCUGAUCCAUUCAUUGUUCUUGUUCGGACGAACAUGCACAACAAAAAGGAAAGAAACAGACUAACAGAGAACGAUGUCCUCUACAUAUUCGUGAUGGCCGAUAUGUAAGCCCCAAUGGCGAGGAAAUUCCAAUACCGAAUCCAUAAACACGGGCGGUGAAAACUGAUCGAAAGAGAAGUCGAAUCACUUAUGGGUUUGUACGGCGAGAGAAGGCAACAGCAAACGAAAAUUAGCUCGGUCGAUGCAACGAAGAAUUACAAGCUAGUACUACAGCACACAAGCAGACACAGACACCUCCAUCGAUCGAUCCCCAUUAUUUUUUCUACACCACCAAGCGAGUCUCCAAGGUCUCCAACAAUGAGACGACAUCCCGCCCGUCAGUCCAGCGUAAGCACAAACUGACCAUAUUAUAUACGGAGUAUAUCUCCGUCGAAGGUACCGCAGCUACGACGCAGCAUGCUCGAGCGAGCUAGCAGCAGCAGCCGCCGCCGCCGCCUCCGUUGUUGUCGCCGUUUCCUCCUCCCCAGCCACCGCCGUAGCCGUUUCCUCCUCCGCGGCGGCCGCCGCUGCCGCUGCCGCCGCCAGAGCUUGUGGAGGUCUUCUUGGUGUCUCCGGCGCCGGUCCAGUCGGAGAUGAUGGUCUUGAUGAUGUUGCCCCUCUUGGGGUUCCUGUUCCCGUCCGUCUUCUUCGUCUGUCCGUCGCCCUUCCCGUCCAUGCCGCCGAUCCCGAAACGCGCACCCUCGCACUCACGGAGAAGCUAGCACGCGAGCGCAGGCAAAGGGGAGUGAGUGUGUGACAGUGUGAGCUUGCCAGCUUUGGAUGGGAGAUAGCCUUAUUAUAGGCUUUGAUGGCCUCCUAGAAAGCACUAGAUUAUUCUAGCAAGGUAACUAGCCCCGAUCGAUGACGACUAGUCGACGAGAGGUUUUGCACCAGCACCCCCAGCCGCCAAGGCCGCUGAGCCGCAGCGGUACUCCAGUAGCAUUAUUCCAUAAUGCAAGGGGGUUUAUUAGCAAGUGCUGUUGUGGCCACUGAAACACUCCACUAUCUGAGGCUCGAGUCGUGCGUGCGUAUUGGAUAGGACGGGACAAGUGGAUCGAGUGUCUCGCCUCGGGCUUUCCGUCCCUCGGUUGAAUCAUC
rnacentral:lncRNA from 1 species